GACGAACGCUGGCGGCGUGCUUAACACAUGCAAGUCGAACGGAAAGGCCCUGCUUUUGUGGGGUGCUCGAGUGGCGAUCGGGUGAGUAACACGUGGAUAACCUACCUAUAAGACUGGGAUAACUUCGGGAAACCGGAGCUAAUACCGGAUAAUAUUUUGAACCGCAUGGUUCAAAAGUGAAAGACGGUCUUGCUGUCACUUAUAGAUGGAUCCGCGCUGCAUUAGCUAGUUGGUAAGGUAACGGCUUACCAAGGCAACGAUGCAUAGCCGACCUGAGAGGGUGAUCGGCCACACUGGAACUGAGACACGGUCCAGACUCCUACGGGAGGCAGCAGUAGGGAAUCUUCCGCAAUGGGCGAAAGCCUGACGGAGCAACGCCGCGUGAGUGAUGAAGGUCUUCGGAUCGUAAAACUCUGUUAUUAGGGAAGAACAUAUGUGUAAGUAACUGUGCACAUCUUGACGGUACCUAAUCAGAAAGCCACGGCUAACUACGUG
rnacentral:rRNA from 1 species